GUGAGGAAUAUUGGUCAAUGGGCGCAAGCCUGAACCAGCCAUGCCGCGUGCAGGAAGACGGUCCUAUGGAUUGUAAACUGCUUUUAUUUGGGAAUAAACUCCGGUACGUGUACCGGCCUGAAGGUACCAAAUGAAUAAGCACCGGCUAACUCCGUGCCAGCAGCCGCGGUAAUACGGAGGGUGCAAGCGUUCUCCGGAAUCAUUGGGUUUAAAGGGUCCGCAGGCGGUCUUAUAAGUCAGUGGUGAAAGCCUACAGCUCAACUGUAGAACUGCCAGUGAUACUGUAGGACUAGAAUUCGAUCGAAGUGGGCGGAAUGUGACAUGUAGCGGUGAAAUGCUUAGAUAUGUCACAGAACACCGAUAGCGAAGGCAGCUCACUAGGUCUGGAUUGACGCUCAGGGACGAAAGCGUGGGGAGCAAACAGGAUUAGAUACCCUAGUAGUCC
rnacentral:rRNA from 1 species